AGUGAAAUGGCUGGGUCCAAUGGUGGUUUCAUUCCAAGUUUUCUGAGGAAUCUCCAUGCUGCUUUCCAUAGUGGUUGAACCAAUAUGCAGUCCCACCAGCAAU
rnacentral:pre_miRNA from 1 species